UGGGUAUGGAGAUGGAUAUAUCUUUUCUUAUCUGAUCGGAUAUUGGGUAGGAUUUGAAUAUAGGAUAUUAAGUUCAGAUUUGAGGAUGGGUAGUAUAAUAUCCAAUUCAAAUCCUACCCAUUGCCAUCACUAGAUAGAGGUCAUAGGAGAAUAAGAGAGAUAAGGGGAUGGAGCAUUACUAGAACAUUGAAAUGGUGACUGGUGGUUAGCUAUUGACUUUUCUCUAGUUAUGCUGGCAUUGGAGAUGUGGGAAAGUAGGAAAAAAAUGAUAAAGAAAUGAGGCGAUGAAUUAAUAGAUAUGGAUCGAAAUGGGUUGAGCAUAAGUUAGGUAAGCCACUAUCUAUCCCUACCUCAUACUUGCCUUCAGAUGGGGCAA
rnacentral:lncRNA from 1 species